rnacentral:rRNA from 1 species
CCCUUAGAUGUCCUGGGCCGCACGCGCGCUACACUGAUGCAUGCAACGAGUUUAUAACCUUGGCCUGAAAGGUCUGGGUAAUCUUUUGAACGUGCAUCGUGAUAGGGAUAGAUUAUUGCAAUUGUUAAUCUUGAACGAGGAAUUCCUAGUAAACGCGAGUCAUCAGCUCGCAUUGAUUACGUCCCUGCCCUUUGUACACACCGCCCGUCGCACCUACCGAUUGAAUGGUUCGGUGAAGAUCUCGGACUUCGAUAUUUAUUCUUUAUUGAGUUUAUAUUGUGGGAAGUUAUCUAAACCUCAUCAUUUAGAGGAAGGUGAAGGCGUAACA